ACUUAAUGCUACACGCUGUGGAAGAAGGAAGACACAGUAGCAGCAAAUGCUUGAGUCAUACAUCCCAAAUCAUUUUCAUCUCUUUGGACUGGAUGCUGAGGUACCAAUCCGCACCUUUUGUCACAGUGAUGUCACUGGAGUGAGGUAUUUGCAUGGGAAAGGGGGUCAGAACUCGGCCUAUUGUGCCUCUCACUCCCCACAUCAGUACAUAUUCCCUUGCAAUACAGAGCCUGGAGAAGCGAAAUUGGUCUGAUGCUCUUUGGUUUGGAGGUAAGAUAGCCGUGCUAUUGCUGCCAUUAGUGCUUGUAAGGCAGCUAUUCCUACAUCUUGGGCAAGCUGGCUGGUUCUUGGAGGGCUACUCCCUUGAAGAAACAAUUCUCCCCGGCUUUGUGUCUCCUUAGGUGGCCAGGCCCAAACGUACGGUCACAGGAGAGCCGGAAAAGUUCCUCCAGAUGAGGUACCCUCCCAUGCACAGCAAUCCAAUGACCACUGAAGAAGAGAAGGAUACAGUUGUCAGCUGGCUAAGUGGGAAGGGCAGAAAUUCCCAGACAUAUUUUCAUGUGGACUUCUGUCCUGUGCCCCUCCCCCUGGCCAGACCCGCACUGCAUCGUUCUGGGAGCACCAGGAAAAUCUUUUACCUAAAGGUGCCAGGCUAGUCUUCUCCAAGCCUAAAUCAAGCCUACUUACCAACAGGAACUACAAUCCCAACAACAGCUGCUGUGACAGUGGAGCCAAAACCUUCUGCGUUAUUAGCAUCUGUGUCGUGCUGGUGGAACAGGUGCGGCUGACAGUCUUAAAGAAUGAAACCCCCUGCUCCAAGCAGAACAAGUUAUUUCUGGCAAGUCAGGUCAGCUUCUCUGCCUUGCCUCGCCGGUGUGCCACAGCUCUGAGGAUUAUAUCCAAGAGUGAGAAGGUAAGUGGCUAUUCAGUACUGAACUUCUGCAGGGGCAUACACCAAGGGAGCCAGCUAGUGUUCCCUUUCCGGGCCAUCUUUUGCAAUGCAGAAAGCUGCCCCCCCAGAAUGUUCAUUCUAAUGCAACACUUUGUUGUCAGGCAUGUUUCAGUCUGGAUAACAUGAACAUUCAGGGCAUGGGGCCAAAACAGAUACAGCUUUCUUUACAAAUAGGAAUCUUGAGUGCUAAUAGAUGAAAGGCGAAUCCCAGGCACCUGGCUGGGUAAGGCCCAGAACAGUUCUACCCGAUGCAGUGAUUCAGUGGCCCAGGUGACCUGUCUGUAUGAGGGCUCCCAUUGCUGAGAAUACCAGCAGAAACAGCUGUUAGCAAUGGUGGUGUGCCCCUAUCAUAGCAGGGCCUCGCACAUGGACUUUGCCUGUACGUGUGUAAACACAUGCACUGAACUUUUGCUCACACUAGUGAGCUUCCACUUUCUAAAAAAAAAAUUGCAUCUUUUAUCAGCGUAGUGGCCUGCAAAAAUGGAAGACUGGCACAGGAAACAGGUCCUAGCGGUAAAUGAAUGCUCCUGCACCGACUAGACAUCUGGUGGGUGUUCUCUUCUUAUCUCUCACCACCUCCAUUUGCCUCUCAUUGCAUAUUCAUGGAAUAGCAACUUGGCAAAAAUAACUCGCACAAAGAUUUACUACUCGUACCCAUUUAUAUCAAGCAUUUAACUUGCAUCAGGACAUAGAAGCUACCCAAAAUUCCAGCUACACUUGCUCACAAGGGUUUGAGAUCAGCCCUGUGCAUGUCAUGGAAGUCUCAAUGUGAGGGUCCUCUCCUCCAGCACCAGCUUUACACCAGGUUCACACUGCAGGAGGGAAAGGAAUCAAGUAAUGGUUUCUUACGUACAGACAGGAGGCGUGCAGAGAACCAGGGAUCCCAUCAGUUACCAUGAAGGAGAACUGCACACAAAAACAUAUUACUUCUGCUUAUCUGUACGUGCCAGUGUCUACUGUGGUUCCAGCAUGGCUAGCCGGCCACACCUCCUCGUGGCCCACAGUACUCUCACUCCUAGCGGAAAGAACAGCAGUAGGAACCUGGUUGUCUUACAGUGCUG